rnacentral:rRNA from 1 species
AAGCGCUCGUGACCAGACACGCGCCGGGAGGAUCAUCUAGCGUUCUCGCUGGUGCACUCCUCUCGGCGCGGGCCAGCGUCGGUUCUCUUAGGGGGAUAAAAGCAGUGGGAAUGUGGCUCCUCCGGGAGUGUUAUAACCCAUUGCCCAAUGCCUCUGAGGGGACCGAGGUCCGCGCCCUGCAAGGACGCUGGCAUAAUGGUCAC